AACGAACGCUGGCGGCAUGCCUAACACAUGCAAGUCGAACGAAGCCUUCGGGCUUAGUGGCGCACGGGUGCGUAACGCGUGGGAAUCUGCCCCUUGCUUCGGAAUAACAGUUAGAAAUGACUGCUAAUACCGGAUGAAGUCUUCGGACCAAAGAUUUAUCGGCAAGGGAUGAGCCCGCGUAGGAUUAGGUAGUUGGUGUGGUAAAGGCCUACCAAGCCGACGAUCCUUAGCUGGUCUGAGAGGAUGAUCAGCCACACUGGGACUGAGACACGGCCCAGACUCCUACGGGAGGCAGCAGUGGGGAAUAUUGGACAAUGGACGCAAGUCUGAUCCAGCAAUGCCGCGUGAGUGAUGAAGGCCUUAGGGUUGUAAAGCUCUUUUACCAGGGAUGAUAAUGACAGUACCUGGAGAAUAAGCUCCGGCUAACUCCGUG
rnacentral:rRNA from 1 species